UGAUGUCAGAAGAAUAGAUGAAGUUGC
rnacentral:piRNA from 1 species